rnacentral:rRNA from 1 species
UACAGAGGGGGCAAGCGUUGUUCGGAAUUACUGGGCGUAAAGGGCGCGUAGGCGGCCUGCUAAGUCGAACGUGAAAUCCCUCGGCUCAACCGAGGAACUGCGUCCGAUACUGGCAGGCUGGAAUCCGGGAGAGGGAUGUGGAAUUCCAGGUGUAGCGGUGAAAUGCGUAGAUAUCUGGAGGAACACCGGUGGCGAAGGCGGCAUCCUGGACCGGUAUUGACGCUGAGGCGCGAAAGCUAGGGGAGCAAACGGG